UUUUUUUUUAAAGAUUAAAGAUUAUUGUCGGGUAGAGGAGAGGUAGCGGGCUCGGUGUGGCCCAGUGAUAGACAGCACCUGCCUAACAAGUGGGAAAGUCUUGAGUUUGAUGCCAAGUGGUCUUGAAAAGUGCCUAACGCUCACCCCUCAACACCCUCAGGCUUUCUGAAGCCAUUCAAUGUUUUAACACAGAGAACACAAAACACAAGUUUAUUCCAUACCCAAACAAUGUGGCAAUUUCCAUACCUUUGUUACUUACAGUUACCUAGUUCUCAGCUUUUCCAUAAAUUAAGAUUAACCCUGCUCCACUCCUGUGAUGAAAGGGAACACAAAGAGCACCUCCACAAGGACUCGGAAAAACGACCGGAUUCGCCAGGGGGAUCCCUGGGGCUUGCCCAUCAUGCUUUCAUAGCCUGAGUGAACCAUAUAACUAUUUUCCAUGCGGACAAAGGCCGAAAUGACUUCAAUCUUGCUACUAAAUACCAGAAUCCAGGGCAGGUGAACGCUCAAGGCUAAAUUUGCCAGAUAAAAUACAGGACGUCCCGUUAAAUUUGAAUUUCAGAUAAUAUUGUAGAAAAGUGUCCCACAUAGUAUUUGGAAUAUUCUUAUACUAAAAGUUAUUAGUAAUUUAUCUGAGAUUCAAUUUCACUGGACAUCCUGCAUCUUUACUUGUCAAAUCCUCCAAUUCUACUCAGGAUAACAGCAUCGUAAUCCCAGGAAGUUCUAGUAAAAAAUACAAAAAAAAAAAAAAAAACAGAACGAUCAGCGUUGACUCCUCCCCGGCACCAGGUGGGACUGCCAAUUCCGGUUUUCGCUGCCCGCAUUUGACUCGGAAGUGACGUCAUCCCGAAGUCGCGGUCCGGAGCCUUCACAAGGGAAAUACCUACUGUGUAUGCCAGGUAGUGACGCGAAGAAUAAGGGCCAGCUACUGUAGACCUGCCCUCAACUACACUCGGGAUUGCCUCGGAAGGUCAUGUAUGCUCCGGCCGCAAGGACUUACCAUUCCACAGCUACGGGCCCAGCUUCCAGCGCUGGCGACCGGAAGUACUCGCGGGUGGGCAGAACGGAGUCCGGAAGUGGGAAUGAGGGACGUGUAUUUGAUGACACUCAGACCACAGCGAUCAAGUCUGGAACCCACAGAGUCUUCUCCUGGUGUGAAGUUGAAGGCUGGUUGAGAAGACUGUCAUAAAGGGACAUCACCAUUCUCACCAGAGUCAAGAGGCUACUGUAGAGUUUGAGAGUGGUGAGGAUGAUGCAGAGGAUUAGGCAGAUGAUGAGAAGAGUUGGGAUGCCAGUCCAGGUCCUCAUCAGGCUCUCUGGCAUGUGUGCAUCAGUAUCAGCUAGCUCAAAUGUCUAUUCAUUUGCUCCAUUAUUUAUACUAAAUUUUGGGGCUUCUGCACACCUUUGUGUCCCUAUCAGCUGUUACCAGGUUUCUUAGUGACAUCUUACAUCUUAGAGUCAGGACAUGUAGUCUGGUGAUUUCUGCCCUGAUAUUACCCUUCUAACUCUUAUCAGGGUUAAAUAUUUAUUUUUUAGUUGUAGUUAAACACAAUGCCUUUAUUUUAUUUAUAUGUGGGGCUAAGGAUCAACCCCAGGGCCUUGCACAUGCCAGGCAAGCUCUGUACUGCUGAGCCACAACCCCAGCCCCAUCUACCUUCCUAUUCUUAAAGGGCCAUUCAGUGACUUUUAGGUUUGGGCAGCUAUAGGGUCUUUUAAAAAAAAAAAACUUAAAACACACAUUUACAUGAACUGUUUUACAGCUUGCCCUGUUUUGUUUUGUUUUAGUCAUAUAUGAAGACAUAGGGUCUUUUUUGCACUUCUUAGCUCUGCAAAAGCAGCCCCAGAAAAUGAUAAGAGUAUGGUUACUGUUACCACAAAACAAUCUGCCUCUUAUGGACCCACUUUCGUGGUGGAAAAUGAGCCACUGGCCAAAGGAGGAGUCUAGGUUUAUAUUGGUUAUACUGAGAGGUGACUUAAUUAGUGAGUGUGUCAGCUUGGUCACUCAGGAAUUUGGGGUCUGUUUUACUAAUUAUUGAGUGUGUCAGUUAGAGCACUCAGGAAUUGGGAGUUUUUUAUUUUUACUGGGCAAGGUGGAGGGUCAGGGGUCUGUGACCAGCAUCUGGAAAGGAUUUAUUCUGGGAGCAAUCAAUGCUUAAGUCUCUUCGAAUUCUAGUUUUGAUGUCCUUCUCCCCAGGACUUGCUUUGUCACCAGGAAAGAAUGUACUGGGAAAGGAUCCAUGCUUUCAAUGUAUGACUUUCUUUUUCACUCCCUUUUUUCCAGGCCCCAAUAUUUGGGGGUUUUCAUUUUUCCAUAUCCAACAGUUACUUUACAACAUUAUUUUACUAUAAUUUUCAUGUCAUGAAAUAUUAUUUAACGUUUUUUGACUAUUUAAAAAUUUUUAACUUGUGAGACAAAAAAAAAAAAGGCACUAGGGCUGGGGUUGUGGCUCAGAGGAAGAGCACUCACCUAGCAUGUGUGAGGCCCUGGGUUUAAUCCUCAGAACCAUAUAAAAACAAAAUAAAGGUAUUGUGUCAACCUACAACUAAAAAAUAAAUGUUUAAAAGAAAAAAAAAAGGCAUUAGGCUGGAGUUGGCCUUUGGGCAGCCCACCCUUAGUUGAGAAACACAACCAAACUGGAGCCAGUCUAGGACAAAGUGGCAGGGGAAGCACUAUCUAGUACCCAUUAUAGAUUUAUGUAGGCCAUCUGAGAGCUGUUAUUGAUAUUAUGUUUCCUAUUUGUGUAUUAAAAUAAACAGCAAUUAGUAGUGGUAAAAAAAAAUUAAGUUUAUAUUUCAAAGUUCUGGAGGCUGGGAAAUCCAGGAUUAAUGCACCAGCAGGAUCGAAGUCUCAUGAUAGCCUUCUCUUGGCUUCCAAGGUGGCAACUUGUCUCAUCUUCCAGAGAGGACAAACUGUGACCUCACAUGGUAGAAGGUGGAAGGACAAAACUGGGCAUGGUGGUGCAUACCUAUGAAAGGGUAAAGUUUUUAAGCUGCAAAGUCUGAGUUAAAAUGUAAAAGACUGGGCAUUGUAAAGUUUCUAAGCUGCAAGGCCUGAGUUAAAAAGUGAAGGACCAGGUAUUGUUAAGUUCCUCUGCUACACCCAGAACCUGAAAUUCCUGAGGCAGUUAAGACAACGCCCUACUGGCCAUUUAGUUGAUUAAUAGCCUAGGGCCCUGUGCAGCUUGUCACGUAAGCAUACAGGGCCCGAACCAAUCAGUUUGAAUGUGUACACCCCCACCCCCACCCACCCCCUUAGCAGUGACCAAUCACCCCCGCCCAACCUGUUCCCACCAAUGAAUGUACUAAUCAAGUUUAAGAAUUGUUGUUUGAUUUUCCCACGCCUCAUGAUGAUUUGUCCUGAUGUAUACAAAGCCUCCAUCCUCCCCAAAAAGUGUACUUAAGCACUGCUCGACCCCUCCCCGGGGCUCUGGGCUGCUCUCCCUUCUUGAGUGAGCCUGGAGCCUCAGUGCACUGAAUUGGAUCCUCAAUAAAUCCCCUUCUGCAAUUGCAUGAG
ensembl:lincRNA